AUGGCGACCGGCGUACGGGUGAGUAACGCGUAUCCAACCUGCCCUUUACUAUGGGACAGCCCGUCGAAAGGCGGAUUAAUACCGUAUGUUGUCAUGUUGAUGCAUAUUUUCAUGACCAAAGGCUUCGGCCGGCAAAGGAUGGGGAUGCGUCUGAUUAGCUUGCCGGCGGGGUAACGGCCCACCGGGGCGACGAUCAGUAGGGGUUCUGAGAGGAAGGUCCCCCACAUUGGAACUGAGACACGGUCCAAACUCCUACGGAAGGCAGCAG
rnacentral:rRNA from 1 species